rnacentral:rRNA from 1 species
AGUCGAGGGGAAACGACAUCGAAAGCUUGCUUUUGAUGGGUGUCGACCGGCGCACGGGUGAGUAACGCGUAUCCAACCUGCCCACCACAUGGGGAUAACCUUGCGAAAGUAAGACUAAUACCCAAUGAUAUCUCUAGAAGACAUCUGAAAGAGAUUAAAGAUUUAUCGGUGAUGGAUGGGGAUGCGUCUGAUUAGCUUGUUGGCGGGGUAACGGCCCACCAAGGCGACGAUCAGUAGGGGUUCUGAGAGGAAGGUCCCCCACAUUGGAACUGAGACACGGUCCAAACUCCUACGGGAGGCAGCAGUGAGGAGUAUUGGUCAAUGGACGAGAGUCUGAACCAGCCAAGUAGCGUGCAGGAUGACGGCCCUAUGGGUUGUAAACUGCUUUUAUAAGGGAAUAAAGUGAGUCUCGUGAGACUUUUUGCAUGUACCUUAUGAAUAAGGACCGGCUAAUUCCGUGCCAGCAGCCGCGGUAAUACGGAAGGUCCGGGCGUUAUCCGGAUUUAUUGGGUUUAAAGGGAGCGUAGGCCGGAGAUUAAGCGUGUUGUGAAAUGUAGACGCUCAACGUCUGCACUGCAGCGCGAACUGGGUUCCUUGAGUACGCACAAAGUGGGCGGAAUUCGUGGUGUAGCGGUGAAAUGCUUAGAUAUCACGAAGAACUCCGAUUGCGAAGGCAGCUCACUGGAGCGCAACUGACGCUGAA